rfam:Myotis brandtii contig264951, whole genome shotgun sequence.
AUCGCUUCUCGGCCUUUUGGCUAAGAUCAAGGGGAGUAUCUGUUCUUAUCAGUUUAAAAAUGAGAUCACUGGCUCAGUGGAUAGUGUGUUGGCCCACAGACU